rnacentral:rRNA from 1 species
UACGGAGGAUGCGAGCGUUAUCCGGAUUUAUUGGGUUUAAAGGGAGCGUAGGUGGUUUAUUAAGCAAGCUGUGAAAUACUGCCGCUCAACGGCAGCCGUGCAGUUUGAACUGGUAGACUUGAGUGUACAUGAGGAAAGUGGAAUUCGUGGUGUAGCGGUGAAAUGUUUAGAUAUCACGAAGAACUCCAAUUGCGUAGGCAGCUUUCUAGGGUACAACUGACACUGAGGCUCGAAAGUGCGGGUAUCGAACAGG